AUUAAUAAGCGGAGGAAAAGAAACUAACAAGGAUUCCCCUAGUAACGGCGAGUGAAGCGGGAACAGCCCAGCACCGAAUCGCACGUCCUUGUGGCGUCGCGAACUGUGGUGUUAAGGACGAGCGCUAGCGCGGAGAACCGGCGUCGGAGUCCUCCUGAUCGGGGCUUUGCCAGAGCGGGUGUUAGCCCUCUACGGCGCUGGAUCAACGUGCCUGCCACGUCCUCGGAGUCGGGUUGCUUGUGAAUGCAGCCCAAAGUGGGUGGUAAACUCCAUCUAAGGCUAAAUACAGACACGAGUCCGAUAGCGAACAAGUACCGUGAGGGAAAGUU
rnacentral:rRNA from 1 species